UUGUGGGGUGACGGCGUGCCUAUCGAAAAAUGAGUCUGCGAGUCAGUGGCGGGUGGCGAGCAUAAGCCGUGUGGCGUAUGCGUAGCGAAAGCGAGUCUUAAAAGGCGUUUUCAGUCGCUUGUCCUGGACCCGAAGCGGGAUGAUCUAGCCCUGGGCAGGUUGAAGCGCGGGUAAGACCGCGUGGAGGACCGAACCCACCUGGGUUGAAAACCGGGGGGAUGACCUGGGGCUAGGGGUGAAAGGCCAAUCAAAUUCCGUGAUAGCUGGUUCUCUCCGAAAUGCAUUUAGGUGCAGCGUCGGUCGAUUGCGUCGCGGGGGUAGAGCUACCGGAUGCUUGCGGGCCCUUGUUGGGUACCAACAGCAGCCGAACUCCGAAUACCGUUGACGUGUAUUCCGGCAGUGAGUCGGCGGGGGAUAAGCUCCGUCGUCGAGAGGGAGACAGCCCAGACCGUCGUCUAAGGUCCCGAAGCGUGUGCUAAGUGGGAAAGGAUGUGGAGUCGCAUAGACAGCCAGGAGGUUGGCUCAGAAGCAGCCAUCCUUGAAAGAGUGCGUAACAGCUCACUGGUCUAGUGGUUCCGCGCCGACAAUGUAGCGGGGCUCAAGCACACCACCGAAGACGCGGCAGCAAUCUUCAUGGUUGCUGGGUAGGAGAGCGUCCUGCGAGGGGCGAAGCGGCCGGGUAACCGUGCCGUGGACUUCGUGGGAGUGAGAAUGCAGACAUGAGUAGCGAGAGACGGGUGAGGAUCCCGUCCGCUGGAUGACCAAGGGUUCCGGGGCCACGUUCGUCGUCCCCGGGUGAGUCGGGUCCUAAGGCGAGGCCGACAGGCGUAGUCGAAUGGAUGAACGGGUGGAUAUUCCCGUACCGACCAUGGACCGGCAAAACCGAGACGGUGAGUACUAACCUCCGCCUCGUGGUGGUUCCUUCCUUCGGGUUGGUUCCGCCGCGUGGUGUUGGGAGCGUAGCCGUAGUAGGUCAGCGCAGGGGUGACACGGAAUGGGAGCCGGCCGCGGAGGUGGUUUUCCGUGGUCAAGCACGCAGCCAGUCAUGUAGGCAAAUCCGCAUGGCGCGCAUGGCGAGGUGUGAUGAUGGGAGCCUUUUGGGCUCGAUAUCCGGUUGUCCAGGCCGUCGAGAAAAGCCUCGGCGUGAGGGCCAUGGCCGCCCGUACCCCAAACCGACACUGGUGGUCAGGUAGAGAAUACCAAGGCGAUCGAGCGAAUCCUGGUCAAGGAACUCGGCAAAUCACUCCCGUGCCUUCGGUAUAAGGGAGACCCGCUGGGGUGAACCGGCUAGCCCGGGGAGCUUUGGUGGGUGGCACAGACCAGGGGGUAGCGACUGUUUACCAAAAACACAGGUGCAUGCGAAGGCGCAAGCCGCUGUAUAUGCACUGACGCCUGCCCGGUGCCGGAAGGUUAAGAGGAUCCGUCAGCCCUCGGGUGAAGCGGUGAAUUCAAGCCCCGGUAAACGGCGGUGGUAACUAUAACCAUCCUAAGGUAGCGAAAUUCCUUGUCGGGUAAGUUCCGACCUGCACGAAUGGCGUAACGACUUCCCCACUGUCUCGACCAGGAGCUCGGCGAAAUUGCAGUACGAGUAAAGAUGCUCGUUAAGCGCAGAAGGACGAAAAGACCCCGGGACCUUUACUAUACCUUGGUAUUGGCGUUAGGCGCGGAUUGUGUAGCAUAGGCGGGAGGCUUCGAAGCGGGUGCGCCAGCAUUCGUGGAGCCGCAAGGUGAAAUACCGCUCUGUUCUCGUUUGACGUCUAACCUCGACAAGUCAUCCUUGUCAGGGACAGUGCCUGGCGGGUAGUUCAACUGGGGCGGUUGCCUCCCAAAGAGUAACGGAGGCGCUCAAAGGUCCGCUCAGCCCGGUUGGCAAUCGGGUGUCGAGUGUAAUCGCACAAGCGGGCUUGACUGCGAGGACGACGGUCCGAGCAGGGACGAAAGUCGGAGAUAGUGAUCCGGUGCCGGCGCACGGGCGCGGCAUCGCUCAACGGAUAAAAGGUACCCCGGGGAUAACAGGCUGAUCAUUCCCAAGAGUCCAUAUCGACGGGAUGGUUUGGCACCUCGAUGUCGGCUCGUCGCAUCCUGGGGCUGGAGCAGGUCCCAAGGGUUCGGCUGUUCGCCGAUUAAAGCGGCACGCGAGCUGGGUUCAGAACGUCGUGAGACAGUUUGGUCUCUAUCCUCUGCGCUCGUUGGAAUCCUGAGGAGGCCUGCCCAUAGUACGAGAGGACCUGGGUGGACGAACCUCUGGUAUGCCGGUUGUC
rnacentral:rRNA from 1 species